AAAUUUCAUUCUUUCAGCCUUUUUAACAAAAAAUUUCAGAGAAACAAAAAGAAAAAAAACUCAGCCACCCCCUUUUCUUGGCCGAACGGGCCACCACCGGCUCCACCACGCGCGGUGGUCAGAGGCACCGAACGGUCGCCUUUGUACCCCGUUCUCGACCCCCACUUAAGAUCUACCCUUUUAACCCCGAAAAGUCAAAAAAGGAGGGGUUUUUCAUACCCCUUUCAGUCCGAUUCCAACGCCAAAAAUAGUCUCCGGCAACGAGCUUUCAAGACAGUGGGCGGCGACAGAGGAAGUGAUGGGAUGGGGUAGCCUGCAAACGGCGUCGGCGCUGGGUGUCAGAAAGGCUAGGGUUUCAGACUGAAACCCUAGUUUGACUCUUGGCACUUGGGCUUGGGUCUGUUAGGUUGUUUUGCAAUUGGGCUUGGUUGUUUGUUUAAUUUUGUAAUUGACCCGGGCGAAAUUGGGCCUCUACAAUAUGUAUAUAUAUUUAAAGAUAUUGUAAAGAAGUAUACGUGUAAUGUAUGUAUAGAAAAUAAUGUUCAUUGCAAAACUCUUAUUGAAAAAUGAAAAGCUAAGUGUAACCAUCUUCAAAUCCUUCCAAUUUAGGCAUCAGCCAGUAAAAUGAUUUGUUGACAAGUAUAAUCUAAAGGCCCUUUGAUCUUCAUCAACAAAUAGUUGCCAUAAGAAAUUUAAGAAAAAUAAACUAAAAGUGAACCAAACCUGCAGGAACCUCCCACAUAGAUGCUUCUGAAUGAUAAAUAUAUAACAAAAUUUGGGUAAAUGAUAAAAUACAAUUUUAUCAGCUUCAGUCCAUCAUAAAUUUUCAUAGUGAAUGACCAGUAUUUUAAAUUACUCAUUUCUAAGAUCUCUAUAUAUUGCGUUUCCCACUUGAAGUUUUCUGCACUAAAACAUCAAAACAGAAGUGACUUAAAGAAGAUAAAAAUGAAGAAGCAAGUAAUUUGUUCGACUAUCUUCCCUCUCCUUUGCAUUCUUCUUCUUUUUCUUAGUGUUGAAGCACAGACGUGCAGCCCUAGUGGCAAGAUCAAAGGGAAAACCCCUCCACCAGGGCAAUGCAACCAGGAAAAUGAUUCUGAUUGUUGCAAGGAUGGCAAGUGGUACACGACAUACAAAUGUUCACCCCCUGUAUCAAGCCAAACGAAAGCAACACUGACGCUUAACAGCUUUGAGCCAGAUGGAGACGGUGGUGCACCAUCUGAAUGUGACAACCAGUACCACUCCGAUGAUGACCCUGUGGUGUGGCACUUUCUACAGGGUGGUAUAACAACGGGAAGAGGUGUUUGAAUUAUAUCAACAUCCAUGGCAAUGGAGAAUCUGUGAGGGCUAAAGUUGUGGAUGAAUGCGAUUCUACUAUGGGAUGCGAUUCGGACCAUGAUUAUCAGCCCCCUUGCCCUAACAACAUUGUUGAUGCGUCGAAAGCAGUUUGGAAGGAUCUUGGAGUGCCUGAGAGCGACUGGGGCGUGAUGGAUAUCUACUGCUCUGAUACGUGCAGCCCUAGUGGCAAGAUCAAAGGGAAAACCCCUCCACCAGGGCAAUGCAACCAGGAAAAUGAUUCUGAUUGUUGCAAGGAUGGCAAGUGGUACACGACAUACAAAUGUUCACCCCCUGUAUCAAGCCAAACGAAAGCAACACUGACGCUUAACAGCUUUGAGCCAGAUGGAGACGGUGGUGCACCAUCUGAAUGUGACAACCAGUACCACUCCGAUGAUGACCCUGUGGUGGCACUUUCUACAGGGUGGUAUAACAACGGAAAGAGGUGUUUGAAUUAUAUCAACAUCCAUGGCAAUGGAAAAUCUGUGAGGGCUAAAGUUGUGGAUGAAUGCGAUUCUACUAUGGGAUGCGAUUCGGACCAUGAUUAUCAGCCCCUUGCCCUAACAACAUUGUUGAUGCCUCGAAAGCAGUUUGA